GAUGAACGCUAGCGGCAGGCCUAAUACAUGCAAGUCGAGGGAGAAUGUUGGAUUCGUCUGACAUGAAACCGGCGCACGGGUGCGUAACACGUAUGAAACCUACCUUUAACUGGGGUAUAGCUCAGAGAAAUCUGAAUUAAUCCCCCAUAAGACUACGACAUGGCAUCAUGAUGUAGUUAAAGCUCCGGCGGUUAAGGAUGGGCAUGCGGUACAUUAGCUAGUUGGUGAGGUAAUGGCUCACCAAGGCUACGAUGUAUAGGGGGUCUGAGAGCAUGAGCCCCCACACUUGAACUGAGACACGGACCAGACUCCUACGGGAGGCAGCAGUAGGGAAUAUUGGUCAAUGGACGCAAGUCUGCACCAGCCAGGCCGAGUGAAGGAUGAAGGCCCGAUGGGUCGUAAACUUCUUUUAUUAGGGAAUAAAACACGGGAUGCGUCCUGUACUGACGGUACUUAAUGAAUAAGGAUCGGCUAACUUCGUGCCAGCCGCCGCCGUAA
rnacentral:rRNA from 1 species